GCCCUCGUAGCUCAGGCGGAUAGAGCGCAGGAUUCCUAAUCCUGAGGCCGCUGGUUCGAGUCCAGCCGGGGGCA
rnacentral:tRNA from 2 species